AUGCAAGUCAUGGACCCAGGGAGGAGAAUUUACUCUUCUCUGUUAAGAAGCAGCUCUGGUGUCCUGACCAAAUGUCAGAAGAUGGGACUUUGCUCAGACCAAGCUACCAAAGACCACUGCCCUUCAUUUCAUGAGCUCAGCCCUGUCUACCCAGACGAGCAACCGAGGAGCCUGAUCCAGGAGCCAACAGAUCAUGAUUCUUGGCUAUGCAAACCUGAGACUGACUCAUCCUCCAGCAGCCGACCGUGGACAUGUGCAGCAGUCACAGAGACAGAUGGCAUUUCAAUCACUUGGCCUACAUCUUCCUCCACUGUCACCACUGUGACAGAAAUGAGUUCCGUUUGCUCCAUUUUACAUGAGGGCAAAAGGCAGCAUUGACUCACGAAGUUUACACAGUCAGUGAGAAGAGCAACCAAGUCAGGAUCAGAUACAAAGAUGUUAUUGCAGAUGUUAAUUGGAACAUAGUUUUAGUCAUUUGAUAAAUAUUCAGUAAUUUAUUGUUUGUUAAGAAAAAUUAUCCAAAAUUCACAAAUAUAGAGGAAACAAAAUUUUACCUGUACCCUCUUUUCUUUUCUUUCUUUUUUUCCCCCUAGGACUGAUAAUUAAAUGACAAGAGACAGAUAAGACAGAUCAACAGGAGAAAAACAAAUUUACUUAGUACAAAACUUACAUGGCAGGGGAGACUACAUAAGGAAAUGCAGUUGUGAAAAUGUCACAAGGACAAGAAGCUUGGGCUCAGUAAGUAGUUAAUUGGGUGAAAAAGUGGAUAGGAAGGUAAGUUUAGUCUAGCAAGGCUUGUUUGUACAAAUUUCCCUUGGCCUCAACUUCCUAUCCUUGACGAUAAGAAAGAUGCUUUCCUUCUGAUAUAGGGAAGGCAUCUUUCACAUGUGAAUUUCGUCUCCACUUGUAAGAAAAAGGUCAGAGUGAUCAUCUCACACCUGUUGUUUUUCAGGUGCCCUAAACUCAAAAUAGUCAAUAUGCCAGAGUGGCCUGUUUUGGAGUGUUGUGCUAACUCUGCUAAGGUAGAGUUAUUCUGUCAGUGGUAUAUUGAAGCAUCAUAUAAAGCUUAUCUAAUUAUUUAGGGAAGUGGCUUUCAAACUUUGCAUCAUAUUGGAAACACCUGGGACGUUUGAAAACUAUGACUGUUUGGCUCCCACUCCUAGACAUCCUGAUUUAAUGGUUGGGGGUGAUGUGAUAGGCUGAACAAUAACCUCCCAAAGAUGCCCACAACCUAAUCCUCAGAACCUGUGAAUAUGUUCCCUUACAUAUAAGAGACUUUGCAGAUAUGAUUAAGUUAAGGAUCUGGAGAUGGGAAAAUAUCCUGGAUUAUCUGGAUGGGUCCAAGGUCAUCACAAUGGUUCUUACAAAAAGGAGGCUGGAGGGUCAGAGUCAGACAGAGAAGGCUUAAAGAUGAAAGUAGAGGUCAGAGAAGGGAGAGAAGACCCUGAACUUUUGCCUCAGAAGGAGAGAAAGGGGCCACAAGCGAAGGAAUGCAGGCAGUCUCUAGAAGGUGAAAAGGGCAAGGAAAGGAUUCUCCUCUACAGCCUCUAGAAGGAAGCAGCUCGUUGGACCCAUUUUAGACUUCUGACCUGCAAGAAAAUAAAGCUCGAUUGCUUUAAACCAUGACAUUUGUGGUAGUUUGUAACAGCAGCAAUAAGAAACUAAUACAUGUGGGAUCUUGGUGUCAGGAUUAAAAAUAAAACUCUGCAAGUGAUUUUAACAUGCAGAAAAGUUUGAGAACCCAUUGAUCUAAGGAAAUGUACUUGUGUUCAACUCUGUCAUUAACUUGGAUCAGAGCUAGACACUACUAUGAAGUUACAUGUUACUUUGUAGAUUUCUAUUUGGUAGAGAUGAUAACCUCAAUUUCAUGAUUGCGUUGCCUGUAGGACAUUAACAGUUUUGCAUCUAAUCCAGGAAUCUUAUUCUGGCACUUUUACCCCUAAAAUGCCUCUUAAUAUCCAGUUCCUCAAAAUGCUUUUGGAACCAGCAUUACCAUCAUACUGGUUCCCUCAAUGAGUUGAAUACAUUUUUGAUGCAUGUUUAUUCUAUAUUUAGAUGAGAGUCAUGUUUCUAACUCUUUGGAAAUACACUUUCACGUGUUCAAUAAGU
ensembl:lncRNA